GACAGAGGUCCCGAGCGUUAGGCGGAAUCACUGGGCUUAAAGCGUGUGUAGGCGGAUGCCUAAGUACCUUGUGAAAUCCCACGGCUCACCCGUGGAACUGCUUGGUAUACUGGGUGUCUUGAGCCACUUAGGGGCUACCGGAACAAAUGGUGGAGCGGUGAAAUGCGUAGAUAUCGAGAGGAACACCUGCGGCGAAGGCGGGUUGCUGGGCUGACACUGACGCUGAGGCGCGAAAGCCAGGGGAGCGAACGGG
rnacentral:rRNA from 1 species